rnacentral:misc_RNA from 1 species
AUGAAAGGUCAUGAAAAGUUUAUGUUGAAAUUCAACUUGAAUCUAGAAUGUGUUGGACCUGGAUUUAGUGACCCAUAUCUGCAUAAUUUAUGUUCCCGCCCGAUCAAUAUCACAAAGAGGUUCGACAUCUAACGACACCUUUAAAUUCCAGGUUAAAGAUAUGAGGUAUAGAUAGAUGCUUGGAUUCUCAAGAAUGAUUCUAUAAUCAUCUAACUUCCAAUCACAAGCCUUUAUUUCAGUAGCAGUGUCUAUUAAAUAAUGGCGAGGGAAAUGGAAUCAAAAUCAAAGUCAUCCAGAAUCAAGAGUUGUUUAGGGAGUUCAUCAAAUCUCAUAUAUAUCAGCCAUGCCCUCUCAGCUUGGGGUAUUCGGAUGUGGAGUUUUGCAGUGGCAUUGUUUCUGGUGCAGCUAUCUCCAGAUUCAUUGAGACUCCCAGCUAUAUACGGUCUACUCUGCUGUCUUUCUGUGCUUCUCUGUGGGGCUCUCAUUGGAGAGUGGAUAGAUAACAAUGAAAGACUGAAAGUUGCCAGAAACUCUCUAGUUUUUGCUAAGGUUUGUGUAGCUAUCUGUGCAGUGCUCCUCUGUAUGUUAAUCAUCUACAAAGAGCCAAUCAUUGCCAUAUGGGAUGGAUGGCUGGAGACUAUAUUCCAGGCUUUGGUCAUCAUCAUAGCUGUAUUGGCCAGGUUAGGCAAUGAGGCCAACAGGAUCUCAAUUGAAAGGGAUUGGAUUGUGGUGGUGUCGCGAGGAAAUGAAUCUAAACUAGCAUCUUUGAAUGCAGUGACUCGAGCCAUCGAUCUGACAACAAACAUCCUGGCUCCUGUUUUGACUGGACAGAUCAUGACAUAUGGCUCCACAGUUGUCAGUGCCAUCUUUAUUGCUGGCUGGAACAUGUUGUCUUUAGUGAUUGAGGUCUGGUUGUUAUGGAUCGUGUAUAAACGUUAUCCAGAACUGGCAAGUAAAGGACAGAAAAAGACUGUCAAAAAAGAUGAUGUUGAAGAUGAAAACGAGCCAUUGCUGCCAAAUGGGAAAAAUAACAACUCACAAAAAUCAUAUAGCGGUAUAGCUAAGUCUGAACAAACUGAUACAGCAGAAACUUGCAUGAUUGAAGAUCCAAAAUCAAAUGAUGAGAGACUAGCAAAUGAAAUUGACAGUACUGACCCAAACCAGAAUGAUGUUAUCAAACAGGUGAUUGAGACUGCAACUGAAUCAGAUGAAGUAAACAUAAAACCAAAACAGAAGAAUGGAAACAUUUGUGCGUUACUGUUCAAAAGCUUGUUAACUUUGAUAAGAGGCUGGAAAACUUACAUGAACCAAGAGGUUGUACUAGCAGGCAUGGCCUUAUCCACACUUUACUUCACAGUGCUUGGAUUUGACAGCAUCACAACAAGUUAUGCCUAUUCGCAAGGCCUGUCUGAAUCCAUGGUCAGUAUUCUCAUGGGAGGAGCCUCGCUUUUGGGAAUCUUUGGUGCAUUUCUCUUUACACAAAUAAGGAAAUGUAUUGCCCUGGAGUCUAUGGGUCUCAUCUCAUUUUUCCUUCAAGUUUUAUGUCUGUCACCUUGUGUCCUGUCAGUGUGGGCACCCGGCACUGUGUUUGACCUGAGGUAUAUAUAUGACACACCAACUGAUUUGAUUGUGAACUGUUCAAUCCCAGUCAGCACUAACAUCUUAGAAACAGGAAUUGCUAAUGUGGAUACUUCAGAAGGCUCUCGUGUUUUGGGAAUGGGUAACUCAUUUGAUGAAUCUUUGACAUCGAAUGGUCAUUUUGUUGGAUUUGAUGCAGUGAUGCAUGGGACACCAUCAUUUCUGUCGCCAUUGUCUAUUGAAGCAAAAGCUCUGAAUCAAUCACCAUGGACAUUUGAGCCAUUACUACACAUAAAUUCAACUGGGAGCAACACAAGCUCAGGAAUUACACAACAUGGAACUGAAGUGAGUUUAACUGAGAGUCUUGCAGUCGUAGGAAAUGGAUCCACAGGAUUAUUGAACUGUACUAACUUACCUAAGAAGGGAAGCAAUCUGUCUAUAUGGUUAUUGAUGGGUGGCAUUAUUGCCUCCAGAGUAGGUCUUUGGUUAACAGAUCUGACAAUAAGCCAGCAGAUGCAAGAAACCAUACAUGAGUCAGAGAGGGGUAUAGUGAAUGGAGUACAAAGCUCUUUGAACAUGUUUGUGGACACCAUCAAGUUCAUACUUGUCAUUAUUCUACCAAGACCAGAAACAUUUGGACUCAUGGUUCUAUUGUCAUUUGGAGUAAUAUGCCUAGGAGGGGUCCUCUAUUUUGCUCAUUAUUUGAAGUGUAAAAUAAGAAAACGUAAGAAAAGAGGAUAUGAGGGUAAAGCAUAGGUGUACAAUACACAGGCAAAGUAUGAUAAACAUCCCCUUAUACAGCCAAGCUAGGGUACAUGGGUUGUCAGUCUUUAAAUUUUUGCAACUACUCAAUUGUUAUCUAUUUUUACUGAAAUGUCAUAUGUAUAUCGCGAUUUAUCUUUCCUUUGUGUUCAAAAGCAUAAUAAUAUGUAAGAUAUCUUGUGUUAUAUGGUUGCUAUAGCAACCAAGGGAUAGACAUAUACAUUGAAUUCAAUGCACUAUUAAAUCUCAUAGAAAUAUUCCUGAAUGACAAAAUAGAAUUAUAUUAUGAUGCCAUAGUGUUUCUGACAUAAUUGAAGGAACAAUUGAUUGAUUGAUUGAUUGUGAACUACACAUCUUCAACAAAGGAAGUCACUGAUUGAGAACAUUGCUAAGU